AGCUUUGCGCAGUGGCGAUAUCGUAACCAAUGAGGUACAACCGAGGUGCGAUUAUUGCUAGUUGAAAACUAAUACUAAAAUGUCAUGCUGAUAUGUAUAACUUGUUUGUAUUUAGCUUCAAACGCAGGACAGUUGACUUACUGC